rnacentral:rRNA from 1 species
UACGAAGGGUGCAAGCGUUACUCGGAAUUACUGGGCGUAAAGCGUGCGUAGGUGGUUUGUUAAGUCUGAUGUGAAAGCCCUGGGCUCAACCUGGGAAUUGCAUUGGAUACUGGCAGGCUAGAGUGCGGUAGAGGAUGGCGGAAUUCCCGGUGUAGCAGUGAAAUGCGUAGAGAUCGGGAGGAACAUCUGUGGCGAAGGCGGCCAUCUGGACCAGCACGUGACACUGAGACACGAAGGCCAGGGGAGCAAACGGGGAUU